rnacentral:rRNA from 1 species
ACGCUCGACACCUACGGAGGCAGCAGUGAGGGAUAUUGGUCAAUGGGGGAAACCCUGAACCAGCAACGCCGCGUGAGGGAUGACGGUCUUCGGAUUGUAAACCUCUGUCCUCUGUGAAGAUAAUGACGGUAGCAGAGGAGGAAGCUCCGGCUAACUACGUGCCCGCAGCCGCGGUAAUCUGAGCGGGCUGGCAAGGC